UACAGAGGGGGCAAGCGUUGUUCGGAAUUACUGGGCGUAAAGGGCGCGUAGGCGGCCGCCUAAGUCAGACGUGAAAUCCCUCGGCUCAACCGGGGAACUGCGUCUGAUACUGGGUGGCUUGAAUCCGGGAGGGGGAUGCGGAAUUCCAGGUGUAGCGGUGAAAUGCGUAGAUAUCUGGAGGAACACCGGUGGCGAAGGCGGCAUCCUGGACCGGCAUUGACGCUGAGGCGCGAAAGCCAGGGGAGCAAACGGG
rnacentral:rRNA from 1 species